rnacentral:lncRNA from 1 species
CCACUGCAAAAUGUGUGCUACGUAUACCGGUCAUCUUUUUUUUUUUUUUUUUUUAUAUUUCCAGGGUACCUUUCAAUGUAGUUUGCACUAGCAUGAAUCUCUCCGUUGCUAGAAUACGCUAUCCCAUCAAUUUUUUCUGUCUGUUGCUGAAGUGUUGUUCUGCUGCUGAAGAAGCUUGAGAACGAAGUCAGUGGCAGUGCUCGGUGUUUCUUUGGCAUAUUCUGUGCCCACAUAUUUCUCAAACAGCUCACCGAUGCUGGAUUGAGCAUUGUUGGACACAACGUAAUUCGUGCCCUCACUUUCAUAGUACAAAGCACAAAACUUGUUUAAGGCAUUGAGCCAUUGUUCUAUGAGAUGGGAUGGGAGAUAUAUAUAUAGGAGGAAUUAAUUAGUUCAUAUCAAAUUAAGCAGCAAAGAAUAAGGAGUUGCUAGGUGCAUGACAUCAAUCAAUUGAGUGAACAUAACUUUAAACCAUGUUAUAUAUGUUAUUUAUGAAUGGAUUUUCUUUUUUGCCUCAUUUAACGCCUCUAGAAGCGUGUGAUUCGUAUGACCAGUCACGGUGGUGAUAGAAUAAGUAAGAAGACCUAAUAGGAACACAAACAAUGAACUUUUUUUUAAAACUAAGGAUGAUAGGUCACGGCAGUAUAGAGGAGUCUACAACCUAGUCUACAGCAAACUUUGACUGUAUGUAGAGAAGACUAAAACUUUUAAAAGAAAUUUUAAUCUCAUUAGUUUAUUUUAAACUAGAUCGAAUACUUAUUUAAAUGUAUUUAUAUAAAAUGGGUUUUUAAAUAGGCUAAUAUGUCAUCUCAUAUUUUCUAAACAUGACUCAAAUCUAAAAUUGUUUAUCUUCUUUGGUUUGCACCUGAGUCUAAGAAACCCUUCGCAAUUUUUUUACACACAAGAUUGUGAAGAAAAAAAAAAUCAAAUUGUUUUUUUACCAUGUUAUCGAUACAAAAUUUUGACAAUUAAAUUCUUUUAUAUGCAAGAAUUAGAAAUCAAACUUCUCAUAACUUUCUUAAAGAACUCAAGUCUUUUACCAUUUAUACUAAUAAUCUAUGGUUGAUUUAACCCAAUUGUUUCUAUCCAUAUAUAAUAUUUAUUUUCUUUAUCUUCUCAAAUGUCGGUUCAAUGUGUCACCAAUCUUCCAAUAAAUCUAAGAACACCAUUAUUUCCUUUUAACCAUUCAGCUUUGUUCUUCAAAUAAUAAUAAUAACAGUUUCAAUGAGGAAAAUUAUAAGCUCCAUAUAGAGAUAUGUCAUAGGCACUUGUUGUAGAUAAUGUCAUUUGAAAGAAGGGACAUGGUUGAAUUUUACAAUUCAUAAAGGCCACAGUUCUCAGCCGAUUGUCGAGUUGAGUUUAUUUUUUAUUUUAUUUUUCUGAAAAAAUUUGGUAUCCGAUCCAACAAUCGACUGAUUCGAAGGGGAAUCUCACCGUCCACUUGCGGAGAUCUCAUUUAAAGCUUUGUAUGAACUUAUCUAUCGAAGUUGGUACUGGAGGGAAUCGAACCAGAGACCUUGAGACCGGGGGCGGUUUCACCGCCCGACGACCCUAGGUGGUCGCCCGGGCUCGAUCGAUAAUUUGUGUACAUUAGGUCGAACCCAAAAGCCCAUUAAGACACUAACAAAAAAAUAUUAUUGGGCAAACAUCCAAGGAAAAGAAACGCGCGCUUAGAUUCCAGAAAAAGAAAACACAAAUUUUUGUCGCAGUUUCCGCCUUUUCCACUUGCGAAUUUUAACAAGACUUGAGAAAGAUACUGAAGAGCCAAUUCCUGGUUGAAUAAAAAAUUCAAGGAGGAAAAUGAGUUAAUCUAAAACAGGAUACAUGAAGAAUGGAAUGUGCUAUGCGUUGAUGAUAAUGAAAACUUUUUGUUGGAACUGCCGAAGACAAAAGGUUAAGCGGCGAAAGACUUUAAUUUUCUCUAUGAAUGAGAUAAUGAAUUUAUUACUAAAAAUAUUAAUUAUGAUUAAUGGGUAGGUGAAACAAACAAUAAGUAUAUUGUUUUGGGAAAAGUUUUUUUUUUUUUUUUUUUUUUUUUUUUUUUUUGUUUUGACAAAUUGUUUUGGGAAAAGUUAUUAACAAUACAUUUGCAUUUGCUUCAAAAAAUAAAUGUGAUGAUUCUGAUAUUUUUUUUAAAUUUUAGUUACUACUUUGGAUGAAAUUUCUUAAGAUUUACUAAUAGCUUACACUAUAAUGUCGUCAAAGUUCGGUUGGCCACAUUGAGAGAUAGUGGUUGGGAUAAUUUAUUUGUUGUCGUACAAGAAUUUUGUGUUGCUAAAGGUAUUCUGGUGUCAAAUAUGGAUGAAGAAAUGCCGGUUCGGGGUCGUUCAAGACUAGCAGGGAGGAUUGUCAUUAAUCUUCACCUUUACCGGGUCGAGAUUUUUUAUGUUUCUAUUGACAAAAUAUGUGUGGAGAUGGAUCAUCGCUUUAGUGAAGGAAGUAACAUUGUGCUUGAUUGCUUCUCAUGUCUUGACCCCAAGAAUUCUUUCUACAAGUUUGAUGUUGAUAAGCUUCCUGGUCUUACUGAUAUUUAUCAUGCAGACUUAUCUGAUGAUGACCGUGGAACAGUAAGAGAACAACUUGACACUUAUGUCCUUCAAGUGAAAAAGGCUUGCUUCUUUUUCUUCUUGUGAAGAUGUUCAAAGUUUGGCUAUGAUAUUGCCGGUAUCGACAACAUCGGUUAUGAUAUUGCCGGUAUCGACAACAUCCGUUGAAAGAGCUUUUUCAGCAAUGAAAAUUAUCAAGACUAAAUUGUGCAACAAGAUCAACAAUGUGUAUAAAAUGACUUGAUGAUAUGUUACACCGAGCGGGAGAUAUUCAAGUCACUUGAUGAUGUUGAUAUUAUUCGAACAUUCACCGGAAAGAGGUCUCGGAAAGGACAUUUACCUCCUAAUUUUAUUUAGCACACUAUUGACAAAUUAUAUUUCAUCUCUCUUAUUUCAAACUGUACUUUUGUAGAAAAAAUGACGAUUCUCUUUUAUUUUGAUUUAUGACUAUUAUUAUAUAUUAUGUCACAUGUGAAUUUACGAUAAAUUUUUCGCCCAGGUUCUAUAAAAUUUCUGACUCCGCCACUGCUUGAGACGAGCAAACUCCAAGAUCACAAGUCAACCACUAGACCAACUCCAAAGAGGUUUGCCGAGUCUGAGUUUAUCUUUUACUUUAUAGUUUUUUCAAACAAAUGAAAUCUUUUACUUUAUAUUUCGCAAUAAUUCUUUUGUAACACCAUUUAAAUAUCUAUGAAAAGAUAGAUAUACACAAUAACUCACAUAAUAUAGUAUGGUGAAUCUUCAAAUUUUAACCCGUCCUGCUCCUAAGUGAAACUCAAUUCUAGUAUGUUAGUGUUAAUGAAAAUUGUUGAAGACACAUUUAGUUUGGCUGAGAAACACCAGUAAUUUACUCAAAUGCCCCUUCGGCAGUUAACUGCCGCGGAAAUUAACCGGCGGUAGUUAACUGGCGAAAUUCAAUCUAAUUCAUCGGCACUUAAGUGCCGUGGAAAUCAUUUACAGUUUCUUUGCGACAACUGAAGUAGAUAAAAUAGUCACAAGGAAGAGGGGUUUGAAUUGUGACCCUUUAAAAUUAUCAUGUAACUUAAAAAGUAAUUCUCAAGUUGAAACUUGGAAUAGUUAAGUUAAUGACAGACUUCAGAACGUUCUGAUGUCUGAGUGACAAAAACAGUUUAAAAAAGUAAAUGUGUUUGUGUCAUUGUGUUUGCAGUAAGUAAAGAGUAUAAGGAAGAGGGAAUCAAUACACAGAAGUUUAUAGUGGUUCCCCCAAUGUGGGUUAGUCCACUCCUCACAAUCUUGUGAGAGUUUCCACUAUGUUGCUUGAGAUAAUCUCUUAAUUCUUGCACCUUACAAUCUUUGUUCUCCUUAACAUUUACAAUUUUGUAUUCUCUAAGCCUCAGCAGGCUUGCACCUUGUUGCUAAGUUAACCACUUAGAAUUUUACAAUCUUUGCUCAAGCUAACACUUUAGUACCCCUAAAGCUAGAUGAGACUUGAUUACAAUUUGUGAGAAGUUUGAAUGUUUGUAAAACAAACAGAAGAGGAAAAAGAAGAAGUUAUCUUUAAGAAAGAUAACAGAGAGUAUUGAUGUGCACUUAUGUGAAGGUAACAAAAGCCUUCAGUGAUUGAUCAAUUUCAAUUGCAAGAGCUGAAAACAAUCUCAAGUUGUUUAUUUGUAUGCUUUGCAAUGGUGCAAGUUUUGCUAAGGCCUUGAUCUCUAUUUAUAGAGUUUUUGGGCUCAUAUAACCGUUGUAAGGUGCCCAAUGGUGUUAUGCCACGUGUCCUGGGCCCCACAAGCUUUUACUUGAAAAUCUAGGUGAACAUUCUGACCAUCAUAAUGUUGUUGUGUUUCCAAGAUGAACACCAGAAUGUUGUUGUGUUCUUCAUCAGAAUGUUGAUAUUCAUGAUGUUCUUCAUUUGGGUUCAUCAAUGAUGAAUGUCUUAUGAGUUUCUAGGUUUGUUCAAUUUGUGACAUGAUAUUUGUUGGGUUUUAUCCACCAAAAAGUAACUUCUCCAUAUGCAUCAAAAGUUGUUGGAUAAAGUAGGAUAAAGUUAUCAAAUCUGUCUUGGACUUGGUGCAGGAGAGAGAGAUAGUGGAUCUGCAAUCUUCAGGCCCAUGCUUCUAGGAGAUUUGCUUGAUUUUGUUCAGAGUACACGUUAUCUCUAAUGGAAGAUCUCCUUUUGCUUUGCUUGCUAACUUUUCACCAACUACACUGUUCAUAGUUAGAAGCAUGUGCAGAGAUGAACAUUCUGACCAUCAGAAUGUUUCAUUUGCUCUUACUUUAGGAUGAUUUGUAAGACUACUUUUUGAUGUAAUCAAUCCUAAUAGUAGAUACAUAACUGAAGUGCAGUAAAGUAACCUCUAGGAUAAUAUCCUCUUUAAAAUAUUCCUAAAACUUCAAGUGUUCAUAGUUUUGAAUGAACCUUGAAGACAUUUUUGACACUUUUGCUUGUCCAAGCCUUUAUUGCUGAUACAUCCAUGCAAUUGUACUUUCCUGGACAUAUUUUUAUGUCACGUUGUAGUUUGCAUGUUCUUCAUGUUCUUGAUGAUUCUGGGUUUGUUUAUGAACAACCUUCUGAAUUAUCAUCAGAACGUUCUGAUCAACUUCAUUGGUCAACUUUUUGAACUAACUUUUUGAACUUCAGAAUUAGUUCAUGGAUUCAAUGUCCUUUGAUUUCAUGUAUCUUGGUAUGAUUUAAACCUUAUUCCUGUCUUAGUAAAAACACUCAAGAGCACAAGUUAAAUACCAAGGAAUUAAUCAAAGUUUAUUAUAUUUUUUUUGAGAGAAUUGGUCGCUUUAGAUGUGUUUCCAUUUUAUGGCAUUUGUACCUAGAUUAACUUGCAUUAAAUUGUAAAAAUUGCAGCUGCAUUACAAUCUUUUGGCUACAUUAUUAAUUAAACAAAAAUGAUAUUUAGACACUUCAUAUCCUCUAAUACCUCUCAAGUCUCAAUCUAGUACAUACGAUCAAAUAUAUGUGUAGUGCAAUUAAUAAAUGACAAAGUGGUGAUCACGGAAAGAGAUGAUUUGUGCUUAUGACAUAAACAAUUAGUUAUCUUGUAUUUAUGUAUUCACUCAAAAUAAGGAUUAUAUAAGCAGAAAAAACAAAGCAAAAAGUUUGAUUCAAUAUAUUCAAAAUGGAAAAUGCUAUUUCAUUAACUGAAUCUACCAUUUUUUUAGUGAUAUAAUGUACAAAUGGAAACAAAUUAAUGUUUAUAAUGUAUUGAUUUCAAUUUACUACAAUAAUUCAACUAAAGCAAAACAAUUCUAACAUGUAAAACAGAGGGUCACAAUUUGAGUAUUCCCUUUCCAACUCCCUAAAAGUAAAUAAACUCCUACGUCUAUAGACAAGAAAGAACAUAUAAAAUUAGUUAAGUUUCUUUGGCGUACAUGCAGCAUCAGUUCAGUGACCACGUCCUUUGUGGCUUGGUCCAGAAUAAGCCUGGUUGAUUAUUAAACUUAUGACGGAAGGAGCAGAUUGAUCUUUGAGAGGUCUUGUCCCCUCAACUUGUAUGGAGUGCGAGAGCAAGAGAAAGGAAAAUAUCAUCAAAAAAAGGGCAUUGAUAAUAUUAAGAGUAAUACCCUGCAGCUUCAUUUUGUAUAUAUCUAACUUCCAAGAUGUACCAAACCGUACACAAUAUAUAUUAGUGGGUUAAUGGUGUCGUUUGGAGCAUGAAUGAUGAGGAAUGUUAUAUAUAUAUAUAUAUGUAUAUAUAGCAAUGUGUAUGGAGAAUGACUGAAUUGAAGAUUAAUUGGAAAAAGGCUUGUUUUGUUCUUUAUUGACUUAACUUGUAGCUGGUGGCGGGGUUGGAAGGUUAUUAUUAUUAUUAUUCUUUCACUACUUUGAAUUUUUAAGUCUGAACAACCCAAAAAGCAACUAAAUUUGAGUUUUG